ACUACUAUAUCACCUUCACCAAGUGACAAGUUUCACAUCAGCAGUGAUGUCAAGUCGAUGUCAUGUCACCUGAUAACGCAAUGAGGACAGCAUGUCAUUCCUAUGGUGUCCUUCCUUCAAACCCAUUCUGCCAGUCUAGUCAUGAAGAAUAUCAGAAGUGUUCCAGCAAACAAUGCCUGAUUCCCAGUCACAGAGAGAAGUCCCUUUGCUUUCUUCCUGUCACCUAUGGGUUCUGUCUGUCCAAGGGCAUUGGAUAGAGUGGCACUAUAGAAUCUUGGGCACUCACCCACACCCACCUGGCAUGAGUUUCAAGCCACUGAAUUCAGGACUGUAAACACACGCA